rnacentral:lncRNA from 1 species
CCCAUUCCGUCCCGGCGUCCCCAAAAUCCCAAAUCAAUCAUCCUCAAAUUACCUCCAAAUCCACAAUCGAUCAUCUCAAAUACUCAAAUACAUCACAAAAUCUUAAAAAAAAAAUUACAUCACAACUUCUACAAAAUUACAUAUUCACAUCACACACAAAUCAAAUACAUCACACAACAAUCUCAGAUCCAAUCAAAUACAUCACACAACAAUCUCAAAUUCUCCAAAAAAAAAAAAAAGAAAAAAACCACCGGCUCGCCGCACCAGCCGGCCGGCCCUCCGCGCCCCGCCGCCCUCGCGCCGGCCGCCGCCUCUCCGCGCCUGGCCGCCCUCGCGCCGGCCUGGCCUUCACGCCUCGCCGCCCUCGCACCGGCCGCCGCCGCCGCGCCGGCCUGUUAGAGAGGAGAGGAGAGGAAUAGAUAAGGUUGAGGAGAGAAGUUAAAAGGAGAGGAGAUAAGGUUGAGGAGAGGAGGAGAGACGAGUUAAAGGAGAGGAGGAGAUACCUCGAUCCGAUCGCGCACGCCUCACCGAUCUCAGCGUCGAUAUUUUUUCCCGGUUGGGACUAUAAAUAGAUCUUUAGUCCGGGAGUAAAGCGUAUGACGAUCUUUUUUCCCGGUUGGUGUUAUCAACCGGGACUACAAAUAGAUCGUUAGUCCCGGUUGGUAACACCAACCGGUACUAAAGAUUAAAAAGUACCCUGGAGCUUUUAAACCGGGACUAAAGAUGUUUUUAGUCCCAAUUUUUUAUACAACUGGGACUAUUGUGAAAUCUGGUCGACCGACCAAAGAUGGUUUCUCCACCAGUGAAUGUCUUGUAGAUUAUUUUUCCCUUCUCAUUUAUGUUUCUUUAAUUCAAUAUAUUGUGGGACCCACCUAAUGCCAUCCAUAGUAGGGGCAAACUGUAACUUCGUUUCAAGAAAGCAGGGGUAAAUUCGCAAACCCUAAAAAAUAAGGGCAAAAUCACAGUUGCAGUUAAAAGUUGGGGUAUAAACACAAUUAUCCCCGAUGGCUUUGCGGAGGACGGAAAAAAAAUUAGGUGUGGUGGUGUGGCCCAUGGGCUAUCGCGAGAAUUAGGCCAUAGCAAGAAGAAAGGGAAAAAAAACAAUCUCAAUGCACGAUAUUAUAUGAACAAUAUCCUAUCAUGAUGCAAUCUAAAACAUGCCAACAAGCACUAGUCAUAAGCUCACAAUUCAUCAUCCAUUUACCAAAAGUUUAAAUAGAAGAGGCACUCAGAAAUACCUCAAGAUUUUAGCUGUCAACAAUACAUCACAUGAAAGAACUAGUGUGGAUAGAUAGACAUGUAGUGAUGUAGAAACUGCAAAACAAAUGGAAAAGAUUGAUUAGUAUACUAUAUAAUUGAGAAUUGAGAUUAAUAAGAUAAAGAGUAAUUGAGAUUGACUCUGCCUGCUCCCUGCUGCCCCUGCCUGCGGGCAGCUCUACCUGAUUGCUAGCUAGCCGCCUGCCUCCCGCGGCCGCCACGCAGCUGCCUGCCUGGCCGGCUGGCCGCCGCCUGCCUCCCCACGCCGGCACAUCGCCGCGCCGCUGCCUGGCCGCCGCGGCGCCGCCUGCCUCCCCGCGCGGCCUCACCCUGCCGGCUUCCACGCCCCUCCUCGAGCAGUGCCCCCACCGACCACCGCAGCGCCGCCGCUAGCCCCCGUCGGCCGUCGCUUGCCCUCAGUCAGAUUGAGGAUUUGGGGGGAUUGGGAAAUUUUGGAGUUAGGGUU